GACGAACGCUGGCGGCGCGCCUAACACAUGCAAGUCGAACGGAGCUACCUUUUCGGAAGUUUUCGGAUGGAAGAGGAAGUAGCUUAGUGGCGAACGGGUGAGUAACACGUGAGGAACCUGCCUUAGAGAGGGGGACAACAGUUGGAAACGACUGCUAAUACCGCAUAAGCCCACGGUGCCGCAUGGCACAGGGGGAAAAGGAGAAAUCCGCUUUAAGAUGGACUCGCGUCCAAUUAGCUAGAUGGUGAGGUAAAGGCUCACCAUGGCGACGAUUGGUAGCCGGACUGAGAGGUUGAACGGCCACAUUGGGACUGAGACACGGCCCAGACUCCUACGGGAGGCAGCAGUGGGGAAUAUUGCACAAUGGGGGAAACCCUGAUGCAGCGACGCCGCGUGGAGGAAGAAGGUUUUCGGAUUGUAAACUCCUGUCUUCGGGGACGAUAAUGACGGUACCCGAGGAGGAAGCCACGGCUAACUACGUGCCAGCAGCCGCGGUAAAACGUAGGUGGCAAGCGUUGUCCGGAAUUACUGGGUGUAAAGGGAGCGCAGGCGGGUCGGUAAGUUGGGAGUGAAAACUAUGGGCUCAACCCAUAAAUUGCUUUCAAAACUGCUGAUCUUGAGUGGUGUAGAGGUAGGCGGAAUUCCCGGUGUAGCGGUGGAAUGCGUAGAUAUCGGGAGGAACACCAGUGGCGAAGGCGGCCUACUGGGCACUAACUGACGCUGAGGCUCGAAAGCAUGGGUAGCAAACAGG
rnacentral:rRNA from 1 species